rnacentral:rRNA from 1 species
UACGAAGGGUGCUAGCGUUGUUCGGAAUCACUGGGCGUAAAGCGCGCGUAGGCGGCUAUUCAAGUCAGAGGUGAAAUCCCCAGGCUCAACCUGGGAAUUGCCUUUGAAACUGUAUAGCUGGAGUAUUGGAGGGGAUAGCGGAAUUGCUAAUGUAGAGGUGAAGUUCGUAGAUAUUAGCAGGAACACCGGUGGCGAAGGCGGCUAUCUGGACAAUUACUGACGCUGAAGUGCGAAAGCGUGGGGAUCAAACAGG